UACGUAGGGACCAAGCGUUGUUCGGAUUUACUGGGCGUAAAGGGCGCGUAGGCGGCAUGUUAAGUCAGCUGUGAAAUCUCCGAGCUUAACUCGGAACUGUCAGCUGAUACUGAUGUGCUAGAGUGCAGAAGGGGCAAUCGGAAUUCUUGGUGUAGCGGUGAAAUGCGUAGAUAUCAAGAGGGACACCUGAGGUGAAGACGGGUUGCUGGGCUGACACUGACGCUGAGGCGCGAAAGCCAGGGGAGCAAACGGG
rnacentral:rRNA from 1 species